rnacentral:rRNA from 1 species
CUGGCGGCAGGCUUAACACAUGCAAGUCGAGCGGAGAUGAGGUGCUUGCACCUUAUCUUAGCGGCGGACGGGUGAGUAAUACUUAGGAAUCUGCCUAUUAGUGGGGGACAACAUCUCGAAAGGGAUGCUAAUACCGCAUACGCCCUACGGGGGAAAGCAGGGGAUCACUUGUGACCUUGCGCUAAUAGAUGAGCCUAAGUCGGAUUAGCUAGUUGGUGGGGUAAAGGCCUACCAAGGCGACGAUCUGUAGCGGGUCUGAGAGGAUGAUCCGCCACACUGGGACUGAGACACGGCCCAGACUCCUACGGGAGGCAGCAGUGGGGAAUAUUGGACAAUGGGGGGAACCCUGAUCCAGCCAUGCCGCGUGUGUGAAGAAGGCCUUUUGGUUGUAAAGCACUUUAAGCGAGGAGGAGGAGCUCUAGAUUAAUACUCUAGAUGCUUGGACGUUACUCGCAGAAUAAGCACCGGCUAACUCUGUGCCAGCAGCCGCGGUAAUACAGAGGGUGCAAGCGUUAAUCGGAUUUACUGGGCGUAAAGCGUGCGUAGGUGGUCUUUUAAGUCGGAUGUGAAAUCCCUGAGCUUAACUUAGGAAUUGCAUUCGAUACUGGGAGACUAGAGUAUGGGAGAGGAUGGUAGAAUUCCAGGUGUAGCGGUGAAAUGCGUAGAGAUCUGGAGGAAUACCGAUGGCGAAGGCAGCCAUCUGGCCUAAUACUGACACUGAGGUACGAAAGCAUGGGGAGCAAA